CAAAGAUUUGGUCCUAACCUUACUGUUACUUUUUGCUAAACUUACACAUGCAAGUCUCAGCACACCAGUGAAAACGCCCUAACAGUCCAACCAGACAAAAGGAGCCGGUAUCAGGCACACCAUGACAGCCCAAAACACCUAGCUCUGCCACACCCCCAAGGGUACCUUCAGCAGUGAUAAAAAUUAAGCAAUAAGCACAAGCUUGACUUAGUUAUAGCAAAUUAGAGCUGGUAAAUCUUGUGCCAGCCACCGCGGUUAUACAAGAAGCCCAAACUAACAUCCAACCGGCGUAAAAUGUGGCUAAUCUAAUCUAAAAAAAUUAAGGCAAACCCCUACUCGACUGUCAUACGUUAAAGUUUAUAUUACCACAUUAUAAAAAUAGCCUUAAUAUAAUAAGACCCAUUUGAAUCCACGAUUGCUAAGACACAAACUGGGAUUAGAUACCCCACUAUGCUUAGCCCUAAACCUAGAUAUUUCACAUACAAAAAUAUCCGCCAGAGAACUACGAGCAAUACGCUUAAAACUCUAAGGACUUGGCGGUACCUCAAACCCCCCUAGAGGAGCCUGUUCUAUAAUCGAUAACCCACGAUCUACCUCACCAUCCCUUGCCAAUUCCGCCUAUAUACCACCGUCACCAGCUUACCCUAUGAGGGACACAAAAGUAAGCAAAAAAGCCUAAACAACUAACAAGUCAGGUCAAGGUGUAGCUAAUUGAGAUGGAAGAAAUGGGCUACAUUUUCUACAUUAGAAAUAAUUCACGGAAAGGAACCAUGAAAUGGGUCCCACAAGUAGGAUUUAGCAGUAAACUGGGAAUAGAGUGCCCAAUUUAAGCCGGUCCUGAGGUACGCACAUACCGCCCGUCACCCUCCUCAAUUAAAUUCAACAACCCUACAUAAAUCACAACAAAAAAAUAGAUGAGGCAAGUCGUAACAAGGUAAGUGUACCGGAAGGUGCACUUGGAACAU
rnacentral:ncRNA from 1 species